rnacentral:lncRNA from 1 species
CUUGUGGAUUCCAUUCGGAAGGGAUUAAAGGAAGAGAUAGAAUCUGGCUUGCGUAGCAUAAUCGAAGAAACAGUGCAAGAUGUUAUACGAUCUCUCACAAGAACAAACUCUUUGGCUCCUGAAUCUGCUGCAGUUUCAGCUCCUUCCACGUCUAGACGGGUAAUUAUUUUACUUGGAAAUUGUAUUUUGCAAAUGUAUGUAGUAAUUAAUAUUUUUGCAUACAUCAAAUUCCUACAGGAUCGUAGAAUUCCUACAUCGUCUAAUUUGCACUAUGAAGGAGGCACUCAACCACAUAAAUCAGUCCCGGAGUCUUCAAGUAUACAUCAUAUGCCAUCAACUCAUACACAAUGCGCUCAUGCACUCUCUGGGUCAUCUAGCAUGCCUCAUAUACCAGCCCAUGUUCAAGAAACUCAGGUUCAAGAAACUCAAACUCAAGAAUUAAGUGCGAAUGACGUGUGUAAAAGGAAAUCGCAAAAAAGGUAAACUUUUGCUAGCUAAAUUUUCUUCAGAAAUACUUAUUUUUCAUUACUUGAUUUUAAGUAGUCCUUGUUGAAAUUUGGAUUUGUAAAUUUGGAUUUUUUAUUUUUCAGAAAUUUUCGAAGUGUUUGGCAGCGAUAGAAGAUUGUUAAAAUGUGAGCUAUUGAGGUGGCUGGAGUCUUUUGUUCAAAUUCAGAUAAACCUUCAAUUGUAAAUUUUAUUAAAAUUUGUCUAUA